UACGUAGGGGGCGAGCGUUGUCCGGAUUUAUUGGGCGUAAAGAGCGUGUAGGCGGUUCGGUAAGUCUGUCGUGAAAUCCUGAGGCUCAACCUCGGGCGUGCGAUGGAUACUGCCGGGCUAGAGGGUGGUAGAGGCGAGUGGAAUUCCCGGUGUAGCGGUGAAAUGCGCAGAUAUCUGGAGGAACACCGGUGGCGAAGGCGGCGUUCUGGACUGUCUCUGACACUGAAGAACGAAAGCCAGGGGAGCAAACGGG
rnacentral:rRNA from 1 species